rnacentral:tRNA from 1 species
GGGGAUUUAGCUCAGUGGUAGAGCACUUGCCUAGCAAGCACAAGGCCCUGGGUUCGGUCCCCAGACCUG